CCUCUCCCUGGCCCAGAGCCGGCGGGUCCUGAGGGAAGACGAGCUGAGGGCACGGCAGUACAGCGCACUCUUCAGGCUCAGGGAGAAAGCGCUCCGGGAGAAGACCCAAGCUGAGCUCGACUGGUUGGAGCACUGCAGAAAUCGCGGAACUGCACAAGAUGAUAUGCUUGCUUUCACGGAGCUCAAGCAGAAGCAGGAGGAAGUAAUUCACAGAUUCCAACGAGAGCAGGCAGAGAUCCAUUCCUGGCGAAACACGUACAGAUCAGGCCAGCAGCAGAGACGGUUGCUUCUCCAUCAUCAGAGAGACAUUCUUCAUAUCAAACAGUCAGCUGUUGGCUUAAGACAAGCUCUGCUAAUACAGACUCUGCCAAAG